rnacentral:rRNA from 1 species
UACAGAGGGGGCAAGCGUUAUUCGGAAUCACUGGGCGUAAAGCGCACGUAGGCGGGUCUUUAAGUCGGGGGGGAAAUCCUGGAGCUCAACUCCAGAACUGCCUUCGAUACUGAGGAUCUCGAGUCCGGGAGAGGUGAGUGGAACUCCGAGUGUAGAGGUGAAAUUCGUAGAUAUUCGGAAGAACACCAGUGGCGAAGGCGGCUCACUGGCCCGGUACUGACGCUGAGGUGCGAAAGCGUGGGGAGCAAACAGG